rnacentral:lncRNA from 1 species
CCACGUUCAGUGAACUUAUUCUCUAAUAAGCACCUACAUACUUGCUUUAGUGUCUCCACACAAAUGAUCAUGAGAUCAAUCAUCCUCAUCCAAUGAGCAAGCAACGUAUGUACCAAUCUAUCCGGUUUCACUAAUCCCCAAUUUAAUAAUCCAACGAUUGGGAACUAUUUUAGUUUUAAGCUUUCUAAGAAUUUAGAUCUCAUUAGAAUGAUCAUCAUCAUUAUUCUAAAAGAAUUGCUUAAAACUAUGAGUUUAUCACAAAUUAUAAAACAACAUCAUGUAGAUAAUUUAAAAGCCUUUAAUAAAUUAAUACUUUUUAUUAAUAAAUGAAUAAGAUUGUAUAAAGUAUAUGCUUUAUCAUCAAACAUGAUUGGCUUGUGUGCAUACUACUUUCAUAAAUAAUUUAUGUUUAUAUCUUUCGCAAAUAGUUAUAGAAUGAUAGUAUACCGAAUCCGCGGUAAUUUGGGGCCUGGAUUCGGGGAUGCUACAGUUGGUAUCAGAGCUGUUGGUUAUGAAGAUUAGGUAGGAAUACCUGAGACCAUAACCGCAGUGAUUAAGAUAAUUACUAACUCACAUAGAGUUAGUUUGUCAGUAAGAUUCAAAGACGAAUCUCGGCGAGUGUAAAGAUACGGAGUUCCCUAACUCUGAUAAUAAAGUUGAACAGUAGUGAUGAAUAGAUCGAGUCUAAAUGACUGAAAGUACAGGGAUAGGAGAUCGUAAAAUAAAACGAUCAGAGUAUAGAAAUGAAUCGUAAUAUAUACGAUGAGAUCACCCCGUGAUCUGAUAAGGUUAUAAUGUGGAGAAGGAUCGAGUGAAUGAUUGAAAAGUUUACAGCAAAAUGCUGUGUGUAAGUUGUACUAUGAAAUUGUACUAUGAAAACUCAUGAAAGAGUUAUGAAUUAUGAAUAUGGAUUGAGAAGGGAGUUAAGAUUAGGUGGGAAUUUUAAUUGAGGACUCAUGUCGGCAGCUGAGUUGUAUGAUUCUUCGUAUGGGAGUUGAAUUGUACUUGGUGUAACAACUACUUAGUUUCUGGCACUGAUAAUCAUUGAAAUGUCUGUGUCGCGCUAUUUUUUAUAUGCAAGUUAAGAGGGUGAUUCCUUUCUCAUGUGUAUAACAGAUAGAUAGGUUAUAAAUAGAGGAUAUAAGGUUAAGUACGAGUUCUUAAAACUCAUACUUAUGUGACAUUCUUGACUCAUAGUUAUAUGAAAUGUUUAUGAACCCCUCAGCGAAUGGACGCCAAAGGUUUGACUAGGAAAGUUCGUAAACUCAUAUGAUUGUGGCAAUUUAUGAACUCAUAAGUGUGGUUUGACGAACCGGGUAUAGUUCUGUGUGAAUGGAGUAUUGAGGAUUAUAGGAACAGAUAGAUUGUUAAGCAAACGAUUAUUAGUGGAGACAUUAAGUUUUCCAAAACUCCUAGCUAUGCUAGACUUCGAACUUUUGACAUCAAGCUAAAUACGCACUAUGUGUUUUUUAAAAAAAUGUAGACUCGUAAUCAUUUUUGAAACGGUUUAAAGUAUAGUCUAUGCUACUUAUUUCAGCUAGACGCAAAUGAUUUGAAAUAUCAAAAUAUAUUUUAUUUAUCACUCAUGUACCAUGUAACCUGGUGCAGAGAUGAUAAAAAGGUGAUGGAGUUGUAAAUACAGAAAUACUUAGUGUGACUUUGAUCUAAAAUCGUUGUUCCACUAUUGUAUCAUGUGUUAUGACAAAGUCAUACAAUGACGGAAUCCUCAAACGGACUGUACUGAAUGUGCCAUAGGUAGAUGUCAAUGAAAAAUAAAAUAACAGCACAUAGGAAUGAACUCGAGCACAAAAACCAGAAAAGGAGGCUAAAUAUUAGGAAACACAUGGUUUCAUAAAAGUUAUGCAAAUAUAAAAGUGAAAAAAAUAGACAUAAAUAAACUACACAACUGCAAAUCAUGCUUCCAAAUAAGUACAACUAGGAUUUCACAUAGAUUAUUUAGUGAGAAUUACUCACAUAAAUUACUCCUCAUUUCAUUCUCUCUUCAUUAUUUAUCUUCAUCACAUAGAUUAUUUAGUGAAAAUUUUCAUUUAAUUUACACGGAUUUUGUUGUGUUAGAUUCCUACGGAAUCAUUCAUGAUUGGUCAAAUCAUUGAUACAAAUAAUACGGGUCUAGUUUACAUAUGCGACAAUGAUUAUAAUUAAGGAAAAAGACUAGAGAAAAUACUAGUGUAAUUAAACAAGUUCUUAAGGUGAAGAGUUUACCGAAAUUUGCAAUUAUUGAUGAAGAAUCAAUCCUGCAGGACUGUAUUACUACUAUUUGUGAGCAAAGAAGCAAGAGAAUAGUUCUUAUCUAUACUUCAAUACUAGUAUAUAAUAAUAGUAUAUAAUAAGUCAAGAAAGUAUUCAUUCCUCAAUUGAGUUAAAUUAAUUUUGUUGGACGAGUUAACUCAAACUAAGUUAAUAAAUUAUUAUUCAUUGAACUUGCAUUAAUGAAUUGUUCAUUGAACUUUUAUUUUUCAUUUCAUUCAUUUUUCCUCACUACCAUAUUAAUUAUUUCUCUUCUUUUUCCCUUUCUUAUUAGGUAACAAAAUCCAAAAUUAAUUCAAACAACUUUCAACUUCAUUAAUAUGUAACUUCACAAUUUUAAUAGUAUAAGUUGUAUAAAAAAAUAUUUAAUUACUCACAUUUUUAAAUUAAUGUAAGUGCAUAUUUUCUCUUAACUAGCUACUUAUUAUACACAUUCAUUACAAAAAAUACAUAUAAUUAAUAUUACUUAUCAACAUACUCACAUGAACAUGUUAUAUAUACGUAAUCCUUCACAUUUCUUAAUUCCUUUCUUUUCGUAAAACUAAUUUGUCAUUGUGAUAUAGCUUAGCACCACCAUUUGUAUGAUUAAUAUAGAAUUCUACAAAAAUAAUAAAUAUAAAUUCUUCACUUUUUUUUAAUACUUACGAGUUUAAUUUCUUCAAUUUUUGAGAAAUAUAGUUGAUAUAUAGCUUAUAGGAUUAACAAAAAUACCUCUAAAAUUUUGACUUUUAAUAGAGAUCUAAUAGAACAUAAUACAAAUAAAAUCUUUUUAAAACUAUUUUAGAAACUAGUCCGUACCUCGCACGGAUCGUAAGGUUGUAUAUAUAACAAGACAAUUGGAUCUUAUCCAAAUUAAUUUGGUUGAUCAUUUUAAUGGUAAUUUGGUCAUCAACUUAUAAUUUUCAAAUACAAAUUAUACAAUAAUAAUAAUAAUAAUACAUGUUCAAAUACGAUAAAUAUAAUUAUAACUUCAUAUCUAUAUAUAUAUAUAUAUAUAUAUGCACGAAUCUCACAAUAAAGCAAAAGAAAAUUCAUAAAAAACAUUAAUGUCAACUUUCUUAUUUAUUUCUUUUUAAUGUAUAUACAAUUGUAAAUAUAAAUAAAAAUUAUCAAAAUUUAUAAUUUUGUGAAAAAAAGUUAUAUAAACAUAUCAGGGGCUAUCAAACUUGUGUAGUAGUAAACUUUAUCGAGACCUUUUAGUUAAAUCAUAUUUUGUCUACUUAGAUCAUGAGUUUUCUUUUAUCUUGAAGUACUGCGUGAUAUUAAAAAUUCACAUCUGAACAUAAUAAAAGUAAAUUAAAAGGACUAUUAUGUUCUAAUAAACCAUACACCUAAUAAGUUAACUUUUUGACCAAAUUGAUUUAAGAUAAACAUACAUGGGUAUGCGAUUUUUCCAACAAUCAUGAGCUAAUAAGUUUUUGGAUCAAAAUGCAGAUGGGUCAUAUAGGACCUUUUGGAACAAAGUGUGGUUUCAGACUUAUAUAUAUAUAUAUAUAUAUAUAUAUAUAUAGGCCUACGAUAUUCACAACAAUAAAAUUGAAAAGUAAGAAAACAUUGGGCUGAACAAAUGAAAAAACGGAUAUAUACCAAUGGGGUGAAAUGUUUUCAAUAUAUUCUUCCAUUUGUUAGUCAUCCAUUUGCCUCAUUAGCACACAUACCAUGUUCAAACAAUAAAACUACGCAAGAAGAGAUAGAAAAUUCUUAAGCCUUAAUUCGAACUCUUCUAAUUCUCCAUAAAAAAAACUGUCAAAAUGAGAUAAGAAAACCCUAGAUCCAAAAGUCAUUAUAUGAAGUAUGAAGUUUGCAACACCAAUUGGCCAUACUUAUGCUGGACCUAGAGUCUGCAGUUUAAUAACGAGGACGAUAGUUUAUUUUUCAAAAGGAGGGGUAUUUCGGUCAUAUCUCUCACCGCAGUAUUAAACUGCGGAAUACUGAAAAUUAAACCGCGGACGGGACCAAUAUAGAUCAUUAGAUAUUCGGACGAUCGAGAUUUGUUGUAAGAAUAUAUACUUUUUUACAACGUUGUCAAUGGAUCAACCCCAUAUAUAUAUAUGGGGUUCCAUCCAUAGCAACCGGUUGCUGUGGAUGGAACCCUAUAUAUAUAUAUAUAUNNNNNNNNNNNNNNNNNNNNNNNNNNNNNNNNNNNNNNNNNNNNNNNNNNNNNNNNNNNNNNNNNNNNNNNNNNNNNNNNNNNNNNNNNNNNNNNNNNNNCGGAUGAGUAAGAUAAGGGGUAUGCACUUGAUCCGGAUCGUAUAUAUAUAUAUAUAUAUAUAUAUAUAUAUAUAUAUAUAUAUAUAUAUAUAUAUAUACACACGAUCCGGAUCUUAAGCUCACCCCUUAUCUAACAUACUUUGCAUACCCCCUUUAGCGACGGACCGGGGACGAUUCGAUCCGUCGCUAUAUAUAGAACCGUCAUCUUAGCUUUUAGCGACGGACAACAUAUAGCGACGGACCGAAUCGUCGCUAAAGGGGUAUGUUAGAUAAGGGGUGAGCUUUCCGGACCAUAUAUAUAUAGUCCUCCGAUAUUCACAGCAAUACAAUUGAAAAGUCAGAAAACAUUGGGUCAGCCACCUAAACAAGAACAUGAAAUGCAUACCCAUUUUAACUAAUCAAGACUGUAACUUAAUUAAGUACUUGCAUAGUUUUUUCUUUUAAUUUGCUAAUUUAGGAAUGAUUAUGAAAUGUGUACGUACCUCUAGUUGCCAAAGAAAAUCCCGGCCUCCUGGAUAUUGAAGAAAUAAAGAUGAAGAGUUUGAAAAAAGGAUGAAAAGAGAGGGGAGAAGAUAAUAAUUAAUGUGUGAAGUAAUUAAAUAAAUGAGUGAUCAAACAAGGCGGCUAGAGAGAGAGAAAAAGAUACUAAGAGAGACUAAAA